rnacentral:lncRNA from 1 species
AUUAAUGAGGAGAGGGGAGGAUAUUGCUGCUGCCUGCCCUGCUCUUGUCUCCCACACCUACAGCCCCAAGCCAUCCUGGGAGCCAGCUAGCAAUGCCAGGCUCGAGCUGACUUUUUUGCAUUGUGGUUUGUGAGCUCUUCGUUCCUCUGGUGUUUUCCAGUGAUUUCUGCUCUGGCUAAAGGAAGAUCCACAUCUCUCUACAGCUCUUCACUUCUCCAAACUUAUUCUGGCGACAGCUCCAAACCUCUCUGCCGGCGCUGAUUUCAACAACCUCCUUGCACAGAUGGAAAAGCAAAUGGUUUGAGCUGGGUUUCAUUCCUAUUUUUCUGUGGCAAUCCCGACCAACUGGCGGUGAGUCCAUCUGGCAGGAACCUGAAACACAGCAGCAAGUGCUGUGCUCAAGCACCAUCUGCAAGAUGAGGGCUGGGUGAGGACUCCUUCAGGUCCUUCCCACGAAAGAAGGGAGAUAGAUAAGAUGCAUUUCUACAGAUUCAGUUAAGGAUGGUUGAAUUAGAUGUACAGCAGCAAAAAGCCAAAAGAGAGAAAACACAGUAAAUGGUAAUAAUUGGGCUGAAAAACACCCAUUUGCACCCAGUGGGGUGGGGUGAGUGUGACAGUAGAAGCAUUUAAAGGUUUUUCUUCCUAGUACAAUUUUUGUCUCUGGGCAGAUGUAGCUGGAAGAUAUAACAGUUUAACCCUAUUCCAAAAGCCAGUGGUUGCAGUAGGAAACCACCUACCCUUGGAGUUGAGAUUGGUCUGAAGGGCGAGCAUCUCCUAUCUUACCUAUUUCUAUCUGUGAGCAUCUCCUCAGUUGUUGGGAGGAAUCCUCUGUGUCUUUUUGCUGUUCCAGCUCCUGGCCUGUUUCCUUGUCCCAGAAGUUCAACAUCUCCCCAGCCCAGCAGCUACAGAGUUGAACAAGUCCUUUGGCUAACACUGGUACAAUUUUAUUCUGCAGGUGUGUGUUGGGAGAGUCUGGGGUCAGCAGUGAGGCAUCCUCUGCAUUGUCCAUUAUUUCCUCUCCAAGCCUACUAGAAACAGGUUUGGGGAUCUUCAGCCCCAUUCAGGAUGUCCCAAAAUUCAGUUUUUCUGUCACAGUGAUGAUUUUGGUCACUGUACUGGAGCCAGGAAUUGGGAGAACAGUUUAAAACAACAGGAAAGACCAGGCCAAGCAAUCUGGUAUCUUUUUGAUUUAAUACCCAGAGGGAGCCAGAGCAUCUCCAAGCACAGACACGGUCCCACUGCAGUCCAGCACAGUCCUGCUCUGCCAAGGGACUUGCUUCAGCUGUGUCCCCUCCUUGCUGGUGAGGGCAGGUCCCCCCUGUGCUGCAGCACCAGAGGUGUGAAUUCACAGGUCACCCCACAGCAACUGCUUUUGGUGGCUGGGACACUCAUGAGUGUGAUGUGGCCAGAUCCCUUGCUGGCAUCUUCAGGAGCUUCUGCUCUAAUUUUCCCUCCUCCAAGAGGCUGCUCUGUGCCCCACAAAAUCAGGCUUAUCCCACAAGAGAAGGAUUUAACUUUUUUUCUAGAAAACAACCAGGCAGGUUGCUGCUGUACCUCUGAACCCCCCUGUUCACUGCCUUUGCUCCAGACUCAAUGGUGGCAGGAUCUCCUUUCUGCAGGUUUGCUCCCUCCCAAGCUGUGGCUCAUCCACUGGGGAUCUUUGAUGACCUCCAAGGUCUGGAGGAUGCUGGCCCUGCAGCAGGAAGCACUUUGUGUGCAGGAGCUCAGCUUCCCUGGGGGUGAUACCUGGAGCCAGGUGAGGAUCAGGCCCAGGAUGAGCCCCAGCACGGCAGCAGGACCAGUUCGUGCACUCCUCAGCCCAAAGGCACAGGGUGAUGCCACCUGCACCGAUUUCAGCAAGUUUAGGCACGAGGCUGUGAGGCUCCCAGGCCGGAGGGUGCAGGGUUUGGCACCCAUAGUGGUGAUGAUUCAUUCUGCUCCUGAAAAGGGGUGCAGAGCAAGCACUGCCCCUCAGCACAGCCCCCAACCUCUGCCCAUCGCUGCACGGGCACAUCCCAAAGCCUCAGAGCAAAGGAGUGUGGAGACACAGCAAUGUGCUCCCUUACC